GCUCCAGUGACCUAGUGGUUAGAGUGUCUGCCUAGGAUGAGGGAGGUCGCGAGUUUGAUACCUGGCUGGGGCU